rnacentral:rRNA from 1 species
GACGAACGCUGGCGGCGUGCUUAACACAUGCAAGUGGAGCGACGAACCGGGGCUUGCCCCGGGGCAGAGCCGCGAACGGGUGAGUAACACGUGGGUAACCUGCCUCAAUGAUUGGGACAACCCGGGGAAACUCGGGCUAAUACCAAAUGUGUUCACUCCUUCUAAGGGGAGUGAGGAAAGGAAGCUUCGGCCUCCGCAUUGAGAUGGGGCCCGCGGCCCAUUAGCUUGUUGGUGAGGUAACGGCUCACCAAGGCUUCGAUGGGUAGCUGGUCUGAGAGGACGAUCAGCCACACUGGGACUGAGACACGGCCCAGACUCCUACGGGAGGCAGCAGUGGGGAAUCUUGCACAAUGCGCGAAAGCGUGAUGCAGCAACGCCGCGUGGGGGAAGACGG